GGCUCACAACCUGAACUGAUGCCAACUGAAUCACAGUGGCUCCGACCAGGACUUUGACUUUGGAGAUAAAGACACAGCGGGUUCUAGCAGGGACAGAAGAGGCAUAAAACGGAGACAGGAGCUAGUUUAUACCAAGUUAAUGUGCCUGAGCCAGAAGAGUAGUUUGGAGCUGGUGGGCAGCAGCAGGGCUUAAGUGUUUCCUGUAGGGCCUGUUGGACAGGAGGAACCGCCGCUGGCCCUCAGCCUUCAGGGGUGGAAAGUAUGUGUCGUAGGCUGCGCUCCCACCUCCCACCUCCCAGCCUGGGAACGGAAGCUGGGAGCCGCCAGGGAAAACAAGCAGACAAUCAGAACUUUCACCUUGCUGCCAGAGUCUCAGACAGUCCCCCGGCCCCUAGACUCUUCCGGUUUCUCUCCCACCCCGACACCUCACCCGGAGUGACAUCAGUCUCCAGCAAUGGACGGAAACACAUCACACACGUAGCUUCGGUGAUGUGCCCCUCACUGGGUCAGGGACAUGACGCUGGAGCUCUGAUGGGUAAACCAGAUGCACACAUAGACAAACACACCCAUACAUACCCGAGACACAUUAUGCACAUACAAUAAAGACAAUGCAUAACAGCUACAGUCCUGCUGGACGUGGAGGAAGAAGAAGGAGGAUACAGUUUGAUUUAAACAAUAUAAUCAAAUAAAGAAAAUGUAGCAGAAUAAA